UACAGAGGGUGCUAGCGUUGUUCGGAAUCAUUGGGCGUAAAGGGCGUGUAGGCGGUUUGCUAAGUCAUGUGUGAAAUCCCUCGGCUCAACCGGGGAACGACGCAUGAAACUGGCAAGCUAGAGUACCAAAGAGGGGGGUGGAAUUCCUGGUGUAGCGGUGAAAUGCGCAGAUAUCAGGAGGAACACCAAUGGCGAAGGCAGCUCGCUGGGACGGUACUGACGCUGAGGCGCGAAAGCGUGGGGAGCAAACAGG
rnacentral:rRNA from 1 species